rnacentral:rRNA from 1 species
GAAACUAACAAGGAUUCCCCUAGUAACGGCGAGUGAAGCGGGAAGAGCUCAAAUUUGUAAUCUGGCACUUUCAGUGUCCGAGUUGUAAUCUCGAGAAGUGUUUUCCGCGCCGGACCGCAUACAAGUCUGUUGGAAUACAGCGUCAUAGUGGUGAGAACCCCGUAACUGAUGCGGAUGCCCGGUGCUUUGUGAUACACUUUCGAAGAGUCGAGUUGUUUGGGAAUGCAGCUCAAAUUGGGUGGUAAAUUCCAUCUAAAGCUAAAUAUUGGCGAGAGACCGAUAGCGAACAAGUACCGUGAGGGAAAGAUGAAAAGCACUUUGGAAAGAGAGUUAACAGUACGUGAAAUUGUUGGAAGGGAAACGCUUGAAGUCAGACUUGCUAUUUGGAGUUCAACCCAUGGUGUAUUCUUCAAUUUGCAGGCCAGCAUCAGUUUCUGGGGGUGGAAAAUCGUAGUUUGAAUGUAGCAGUUUCGGCUGUGUUAUAGCUUUCUACUGGAUUCAUCUUCGGGG